ensembl:lncRNA
AGAACAUCCAGGGUCCUGAUGGCCUGGGUACCAGCACGUCCUGAACCUGGCCUAGGCGCUGGUGGAAGGGAGGAACCUUCUGGGGCUGCCUGAGAGUAGAACGACUCAUCCUGCUUUGGACUCGCUUGGCGGAGCAGGACAAGCGGCGAGUCAACUACCCUCCCAGAUACCGGGAGAGGCAACCAAAGAGCCGGUUCAAGGCAGCGAAGGGGAAGAACACCUCCUGUGCUGGAAAGGAGAGUCUCCAACGCUGCCUCCUCGGGGUCAACUCAGGGCCUUCCACCUGGUUCUCUCGAAAGCAGAGCGGGGUGGUCUCGGCUGUGCUGCAGCAGGGAGCUGCUGUCACUGCUGUCCCUGCCGAGCCUCUCGUUCCCGUCAAAGGGCUGUCCUUUGUUCAAGUGGGACAAGGACAGCCCUUCUAUUAUAAUGUGCCGGAUGAGAAGCCAGGGCCCUCGUCCAGCGGCCUUCCUCCACUGCUCCUUUGUGUCUUCCCUGGUCCUGCAGAUCCGCCUCCUCAACACCCAGAGUGUGCAGGACCACUGUCUGGAGGAAGAGGGG